AAAGGUUUUGACAAAGGGUGACAAAUGGCUGAUGGAACAGCACCUGACUAGCUGGGGUCAUCUCACCUGGCUGUGCUGAGUUGCAGCCAUAGGUGUGCUGGUGAUGUUCCACCAGC